ensembl:lncRNA
UGGACAAAUAAUCGUAGGAGUGAAGACGUUUCUCUGCUCGUCCAAGCCUCUUCUUCAGUUCUGGUCAGAUUCCUGCUGGACACACUGCCUUAUAUCUGUCUGAAGGAGGCGCUAUCGUCACUGAAACUGUGAACAUCUAUUGUCUCCAGUUCCUGCUGAAACCACCGUUGGUUAGUGUUUACUUAGGACCUGAGACACCACCUCACCCCCAUCUAUAACUCCAUCCUCAGACCCAGAACAGUGAGAACAGGAGCAGUGUCGUUAAGGACUGAAGAGGAUGGUUUCAACUGGAGACAUUAGGUGUUUACAGUUUUAGCGUCGUUAGCUCCUUUCUUCAGAGAGUGUCCAGCAGUAAUCUGACCAGAACUGAAGAAACGGCUUGGACGAGCAGCCAAACGUCUUCAGUCCCGCCACGAUUUGUCCAGUUGACACAUUUAAACUUGGUCUUUUGUUCUGAAUCAGAGCUGGAUGACUGAGUGAUUACACAGACAUUACACAAUAGUAGUACACUUAAGAAAAGACAUGAAUGAAACGGUUUUAGGAACAAAAGCAGCAGUAAAACAUCAAAGUUAAAGUAGUGACUGUGUUUUGUGUUUUUAACAGAGGCUCGACGGCUCUCUGCAGCUCCUCUGAUGAGUAUGUUCACUUAGUACUUUAAAGCUGCUUCACUUUCCUGGUGAAGGGUCUGCCUCCUGUUUCUCUCUGUCAUUGCUUGGCCUAGAAUGCUCCACAGUGUAGCAUUAAAAUGAUGUAAUCUGAAUACUGAACUACUACUACCUGUCCAGACUCUGUCCUCACAUGAUCAUAAAUCCUAAAAUGAUUUGUUUCACUAAUCAAUACAUUUCUGUCUUUCAGGUGAGAAGCCUGUUAUCAAUCCUGAUGAAGCUGAUCAAAUGGUUUAGACACGACCCUGGAAUGAGGCUUUACUGUAAUUUAGAAGAACAAAGACGAAUGUUUGUAAAGCAACACUCAGACCUUUCCCUUUUCUCCUCCUGGGAAACAGACUGUGCUCUGGAGCUACUCGCACAAAUAAACACUUCCUUAUUUGACUCUAUGUAUCAUACUCUCUGAAUGGGUCAAAGGUCACUGUCGCUAAAGGAAGCUCUUCAUCAUUGAUUUGAUAAAGUUAAUAUGUCGCGUUUGUCUGUGUUCGUGUAAAUAUGUACUUUUAAGAGCUUAAAAUAUGUCACUGGUGUUUCAUCCAUGAAUCUGCUGCACUAAAUGAAGCUUUUUAAAAAAAUAAUACCUACUGCUUUUGACUGAAAAUGUGACUUAUGAGAAUAUUUUGGAAGUAUCAGCUAUUUUCCAGUGUGCAGAUUUAUUCACAAACUGUACUUCAUACUGUUUAAAUGUUACUGUUCGACUGUGUACUUUGGAGCCAUGGCGUUUUGUGCAGUGACAGGAUUUCUGGUAUUUUAUAGGACACUGUAGGUCAGUUGUGACAUGAGUGAAUUCCAGUACUGUGCUAUAUUUUUAAUGUGCCUUUAUUUCAAGAUGAAUUUGUGUAGCCAAGAGUAAAUAUUAAGUCUGUUAGUCCAGAUUCAAUUCAGUCCAAGCCAAAUACAAUUCAAACUGAAAAGCUUUUAUAAUUACAUUUAAUUAGAGGCUGUGUCUCAUUGUGAAACUCCCCUCUCAGGUUUCUGUUCCUGGUUUAAUCUUUUUUUUUUUUAUCCUGUUUUUAUAAGUUUGGGUAACCACUGCUUGUAUCUGCCAAACCAAGGUCUAAUAUGGAAGGAACAUUGUCUGCAUUGUGUUUAAUUCACUUUUUUAUACAGGUUUUGUGUGCCAAUAAUUGUUGUAUAUGUUGCAUAGAGUUUAUUUUUAACUUUGCAUAUGGUUUGUGUAUUUGUGAUCCAUGGCCAUUAAAGGAUUUUUAAUAAAAC